rnacentral:rRNA from 1 species
GACGAACGCUGGCGGCGUGCUUAACACAUGCAAGUCGAACGAAGAGCGAUGGAAGCUUGCUUCUCUCAAUCUUAGUGGCGAACGGGUGAGUAACGCGUAAUCAACCUGCCCUUCAGAGGGGGACAACAGUUGGAAACGACUGCUAAUACCGCAUACGAUCUAAUCUCGGCAUCGAGGAUAGAUGAAAGGUGGCCUCUACAUGUAAGCUAUCACUGAAGGAGGGGAUUGCGUCUGAUUAGCUAGUUGGAGGGGUAACGGCCCACCAAGGCGAUGAUCAGUAGCCGGUCUGAGAGGAGGAACGGCCACAUUGGGACUGAGACACGGCCCAGACUCCUACGGGAGGCAGCAGUGGGGAAUCUUCCGCAAUGGACGAAAGUCUGACGGAGCAACGCCGCGUGAGUGAUGACGGCCUUCGGGUUGUAAAGCUCUGUUAAUCGGGACGAAAGGCCUUCUUGCGAAUAGUGAGAAGGAUUGACGGUACCGGAAUAGAAAGCCACGGCUAACUACGUG